AUGCAGCUGAAUCGACCCAAGAGCGCGCAUCUCAUCAGCUCCAGUCCGCACAAUUCAUCCUCUUAUUCCAGCCAGUUCAAAAGCAUGCGCUUCUCAUACCACAUCAGCAGCGGUUUACCCAGUCCACAGCCUGCCCUGCGCAGAUCAGGCCCAUCCACCACCAGUCCACGGCUGCUAACUAAGAGUCUGUCCCUUGAGCCAGGCCCCUGCCUCGGAGCCCACGAGACCGCACAGCGCCUCUGCUCUGACCCUGGACCCCUGGAAACACAGCACUGCAAUGGCACAGGUGAGGAUGGACCUCAGGACGUCCCGCCUCCACCCCCAAAAACACGCCCACCUUUACCUGGGCCAAAGCCUCAAGGUACGUUUGAAGGGAUAGUUCAACCACAAAUUAAACUUCUAUCAUCAUUUACUCACCAUUAUGACACAAAAUUGGAUAUUUUGAAGAAUGUCCAAGCUUUUUGUUUCUAUACAAUUCAUAGAAACCAUGAGCAAGCUCUAAAAAGGACAAAAAGGCUACUUUUAUGCCAUAUUUCAAGUCUUCUGAAGCCGUAAAAUAGCUUUGUUUUGAGGAAUGGCGGUAAAUUUGUUGUUAUUGAUUCAAAUAUGUACAUAUGCAAAUAAGAUUCAGGAGCUACAGUACAAUUCAAAAGCUUAUGGUCGGCAAGAUUUUUUAAUAUUUUUGAAAGUCUCUUAUGUUCACCAGAGCUGCAUUAAAUUGAUCAAAAAUACAGUACAAACAGUGAAAUAUUAUUACAGUUUAAUGUAACUGUUUUUAUUUGAAUAUAUUUUAAAAUGCAAUUUAUUCUUGUGAUCAAAGCUGAAUUUUCAGCAUCAUUACUCCUUCAGUGUUACAUGAUCCUUCAGAAAUUAUUGUAUCAAUGUUGAAAACAAUGUUUUUAAAAUUUUGUAAAUGUCUAUUUUAUUACUGUUUAUUAAAUUAAUAAAUGAUUGAUUUCUUAAGUUCAUAGACAAAAAAGUUAAAAAAAAAUUUUUUUUUUGAAUGGUAGUGUAUGUUUUGUGCAUAUUUAAAUAUAUGCAAACCUUGUAACUAAAUUGGCGUCACCAUUAUUUUUAUGUUUACUGUAUUCUCUUUGACCUUAUGUAUAAUUUAAAAUAUGAUUUAUAUAUAUAUACAUUUAUGAUGGAAUCUAAUAAAAGUACCUAGUUAUUCUACCCUGUUGUUCCAGUUUGAUAUCUGUGUGUGUCUGUGAUGCGGUCAUGUGAUUGUGCACCAGUCUCACUGUAUUGAUUUGCGGAUUGAUUUUGUCUCGUUCAGUGCCCCCGAAACCUCCUCAUCUACAGCAGCAGAGCGCUCGAAGGCCACGCCCCCCGGAUAAACCCCUCCCACCUCCACCCUCCCGCCCACUCCCCGCCGAUCCCCGCCAAUCACACGCCACCUUACCGAGAGCAGAGGGAAGCUCCUCCCCCACUUGUGUCCUCUCGCUCAUCGAGAAGUUUGAGAGGUGAGAGAUCACCAUCAGUCGAGCGCUUGUCACUGGAGACGCUUUUUAGAUUAUUAUUCAUAACUACCAAUCUAUUUAUUAAUCAAUAUUUUUGACUUGUUUUCUAGCAAAAAAUAUUUAAAUAUCCUAAAAACAAUAUGUACUUGAGAAGCAGAAUUGCGUAAUAAUAUUAAGAUUUUUUUUUUUAGUAGAAUAUAGCUAGAGUUUCUUAUUUUUUACCGGAAAUCUUACUAAAUUAAGCUUUUUAUUUACUUUGGCUUUAAAU
rnacentral:lncRNA from 1 species